rnacentral:lncRNA from 1 species
ACAUGGCGGCGGGGGUGAGGGUCUGCGAAUCCCUCCCCCAACCCCAGGACUCUUGCAAACGCUCCUAGCUCCAGCAUUAACCCGGCCGGGGCAGAGGUGGGGGUUCAUGACAGUAGCGCCCCCUCUGGGAGAUGCCCCAAACUCGGAGAGCGCCCAGAGGCGGAGAGCAGGAGAGGAGGGCACGUGACCCCCACCCCGGGGACCAAUCAGCGCCCGCGGGAGGGGGCCACACUCGGCGCCCCCCACCCAUCCCGGCGCGCUUGGAGAUAGACGUUUUCUUUGUCCUUUUGUCAGCUCUUGGGGGCCCCCGAACCCCCAGGCCCCCACUGCAGCGGGGGGGAUCCGGACCGGCCGGCCCUCCCCUCCAACACCACUGCGACCCCUGCCCCGCGGCCUGGACCCGCGACUCGUCCUGUUCUGGGCUGGACAGGAGGCCGGAGAGGACUCGGGCGCCCAAGGUGGAAACUGAGACCCAGAGAGCCGUGACUUGACUGAUCCCACAGCCAGGAAAUGGUGGAGCCUGGAUUUGAACCCCAGCUUUUAAGAAGAAGGUGCCACUGUCCUGGAAGAACUCUCAGGACAGCAUUAGUGUCUCAGGGAUCCCCCUAAUCGGAGGGGCCUUAAGGCUAAUCAUGAUUGUCACUGAAGAUCCAGGAGGGCUUCCUGGAGGAGGAGGCAGCUCCAUUCUGAAAUGCCAAGGGUACAGCUUUAUUGGGACAGCCAGUGUCUCUGAAUAUGUAGGUUUUGCACAGAGCUUGUACUGCCCCAGGGCCUGUACACUGCCUGUCCCCUCUGCCUUGUGCACUCUUUCCCUAGAUGUCCAAAUGGCUCCUUUCCUCACCUACCCCAAAUCUCAAUUCCAGUGUUUCCCCAGCCUCCCCUCAUUUCAGUAAUCACUCUGCAGUGAGCUAGGAUUGCGCCACUGCACUCCAGCUUGGAUAAGAGAACAAGACCCUGUCUCUUAACUAAAUACAUAAAUAAAAAUAAUUCCCCUCUUCA